AUUGAACGCUGGCGGCAGGCCUAACACAUGCAAGUCGAGCGGGGUUUUCGGACCUAGCGGCGGACGGGUGAGUAAUGCGUAGGAAGCUACCCGAUAGAGGGGAUACCAGUUGGAAACGACUGUUAAUACCGCAUAAUGUCUACGGACCAAAGUGUGGGACCUUCGGGCCACAUGCUAUCGGAUGCGCCUACGUGGGAUUAGCUAGUUGGUGAGGUAAUGGCUCACCAAGGCGACGAUCUCUAGCUGGUUUGAGAGGAUGAUCAGCCACACUGGGACUGAGACACGGCCCAGACUCCUACGGGAGGCAGCAGUGGGGAAUUUUGGACAAUGGGCGCAAGCCUGAUCCAGCAAUGCCGCGUGCAGGAUGAAGGCC
rnacentral:rRNA from 1 species